UACGUAGGUGGCGAGCGUUAUCCGGAAUUAUUGGGCGUAAAGCGCGCGCAGGCGGUUUCUUAAGUCUGAUGUGAAAGCCCACGGCUCAACCGUGGAGGGUCAUUGGAAACUGGGGAACUUGAGUGCAGAAGAGAAGAGCGGAAUUCCACGUGUAGCGGUGAAAUGCGUAGAGAUGUGGAGGAACACCAGUGGCGAAGGCGGCUCUUUGGUCUGUAACUGACGCUGAGGCGCGAAAGCGUGGGGAGCAAACAGG
rnacentral:rRNA from 1 species